rnacentral:tRNA from 2 species
GCUCCCAUGGCUCAAUUGGAUAGAGCAUCUGACUUCGGAUCAGAGGGUUAUGAGUUCGAAUCUUAUUGGGAGCGCCA